rnacentral:rRNA from 1 species
ACCAGACUCCUACGGGAGGCAGCAGUGGGGGAUAUUGCACAAUGGGGGGAACCCUGAUGCAGCGACGCCGCGUGGGUGAAGGAGUAUUUCGGUAUGUAAAGCCCUAUCGGCAGGGAAGAAGCAAGACGGUACCUGACUAAGAAGCCCCGGCUAACUACGUGCCAGCAGCCGCGGUAAUACGUAGGGGGCGAGCGUUAUCCGGUGUCACUGGGUGCAAAGGGAGCGUAGACGGCCAAGCAAGCCAGGGGUGAAAGCGCGGGGCCCAACCCCGGGACUGCCCUUGGAACUGCUUGGCUGGAGUGCGGGAGGGGCAGGCGGAAUUCCUGGUGUAGCGGUGAAGUGCGUAGAUAUCAGGAGGAACACCGGCGGCGAAGGCGGCCUGCUGGACCGCGACUGACGUUGAGGCUCGAAAGCGUGGGGAGCGAACAGGAUUAGAUACCCCUGUA